rnacentral:rRNA from 1 species
UACGUAGGGGGCAAGCGUUAUCCGGAUUUACUGGGCGUUAAAGAGCGCGUAGGCGGUUCCGUAAGUUGGUUGUGAAAGUUCGAGGCUCAACCUCGAAACUGCGUCCAAUACUGCGGGCUGGAGUGCAAGAGAGGCAAGUGGAAUUUGCGGUGUAGUAGUGAAAUGCGUAGAUAUCGCAAGGAACACCAGUGGCGAAGGCGGCUUGCUAGCUUGUAACUGACGCUGAGGCGCGAAAGCUAGGGGAGCGAACGGG